CGCCAUCUUGGUGCGGGCAUCUUUUCCAUCAUUCUCAUAAGUGGACUCGAGAAAAUGCCUCAGUCGUGUGCUGCUUGGGGCUGUACAAACCGCCGCACAAUUGAAAAUAGGUCUCGGGGAAUUACUUUUCACAGAUUUCCCAAAAACAAAGAGUUGAGGAGGCAGUGGGAAGUAGCUCUAAGAAGAGAAGGUUUCUCCGCAAGCGAGUCCUCCGUGCUAUGACAGGACAGGUCAAAUUGUGAGGAUUAGGGAUGGAGCUAAACCAUCGAUCUUCAGCUUUCCCCCUCAUCUACAAAGACCUGUGGCAAGCAGGAAAACAGUGGCCUCGAGGAAAGCUGAGGAGUGCUGGUCAGUGGACUGAUGGAACCUCCUCUGCCUAAUGUUGUGAGUAUUUGUAC